rnacentral:rRNA from 1 species
UACGUAGGGUGCAAGCGUUGUCCGGAAUUAUUGGGCGUAAAGAGCUCGUAGGCGGUUUGUCGCGUCGAAUGUGAAAACCCGGGGCUCAACCCCGGGCCUGCAUUCGAUACGGGCAGACUAGAGUUCGGUAGGGGAGUCUGGAAUUCCUGGUGUAGCGGUGAAAUGCGCAGAUAUCAGGAGGAACACCGGUGGCGGAGGCGGGACUCUGGGCCGAUACUGACGUGAGGAGCGAAAGCGUGGGGAGCAAACAGG